GAGGAAGAGGUGUUACUGAUAAAAGGAAUAGAGCUAGAUAGAGAGAAUUUCGUGAAGUUUGAUGUGUACAUCAACGACGAAGAUUAUUCAGUGAGUAGGCCUAAGAAUAGUGAGUUUGCAGGAAGCUUUGUGAACGUACCACACAAGCAUAUGAAAGAAAUGAAGACGAAGACCAAUCUGAGGUUCGCGAUAAAUGAGCUGUUAGAGGACUUGGGAGCCGAAGAUGAUGAGAGUGUGAUCGUGACUAUAGUCCCUCGUGCUGGGGGCGAUGAUGUCACCAUUGGUGGAAUUGAGAUCGAGUUUGUUUCCGAUUGAUCCCAUCUUUCAAUGAUUAUCCAUUAUAUGUAUGUAUCAGGUAAGUCACAUCUUUAUGUGACUAAUGGAAAAUGUGAGACUUCUCUGUACUCUCCCGUCAAGUCUUUUAUUAAUUUAGAGCUGUUUGGUUUAAAUUUAAGGGGUUUUUAAUUGGUGUUAGUUUCCUGUGCCUUUUAUUUACUUUAGAUUGAAGUGGAAAUUGAAGUUAAAUUUACUACUUUUAUAAGAUAAUAUGGGGGGUUAUAAAUAUUUUAUAAAAAAUCAAACAACUUUUUGUACAAUUUAAAAUAUUUUUUUUAUAAGAAAUAAUAUUUAUCUCAUUUUUAUGUUAUUUUUUUAAUUAUAAGUUCUUUAAACAAAAUUAAACAAAUAUAUUAGAUUUAGGAAAUAGUUUUUGAUUUCUUAAAGAGGAUCCAAGAAGUUGCUAAAUAUAUUAUGGGAUAUCCAAGAUCAUGGGCUUUUUUUCAAAUCAAUAAUUGGAAAUAUACGCCAUAUUUGAAUGGUAUUUUUCUUCUUCCUACUUUUCCUAAUUUCUUUUAUGCUAUUUACAUAGCAAAUGCCAAUUUAAAUGCCCUUCUUUUUUUAGAUUUAAUAUCCAAUAACUAUUUGUAAUACAUUUGAUGACUACUUGUUAUAUAAUUAUAUGAUAUAAAAAUAAUGCAAAAUAAUAGCCCUGAGGGGUAGCUCAAUUGGUCUGGUAUUGGGUUUGCUCCCCAAUGAUUACCAGUUUGAGUCCCCUCAAAACCAUUGGAGGUUUACCUAGUCGUUAACUUUAGGGCCCUGUGGGAUUAGUUGAGGUGCGUCUAACCUGGGUCGGACAUCCAAGAUUAUUAAAAUAAAAAAACAUACUUGUUACAACUAUUGGAUUGAGUCCCUACAAAUGAAACAUGAGGUAGUAAAGUUUUAUUUAUGAUAUUUUAUUUGUUACCCCUUUUUAUGUAUUGACAUUAAUUUAAUCAUUUAGCUUAUAUGACUUCCAUUGUACAUGAUUUAGGUGUAUUAAGAAUUAUACAAAAUAUAUAAUUUAUGAGUUCAUUGGAAUAUGAUAAGUUGUUCAUAAUCGGUUUAUAGAUUUGGAUAAUCUAGUAAAGACUGUAAUAUUAUCUCAUAAUUUGAGAAAUGACUUGUCUACCGCUAAGAUGAGAUUCUUAUGGUGAGUGCAUUAGCAUGAUAUUAUUGGACAUUUUUAAAGGAUAUAUUUUGAUUGAAAACAUUCAUAGCAUAAAUAUGAGUACUUGUAGACCCCAUAUGGGGCUCGGUUUUCAUGCAGCCUGUUUUGCCAAGUGUCACAAUUCCAUAAGGCCACAUGUUGAUUUCUAGUUGGUUGUUGGGAAUCAGAGUAGUGGAAUUGGAGGACCAAUGAGAGGUCGACACGUGGCAAGAAGAUUCCAAAGAAUCUGCAGAAGCCGUUAUGGAGGAGCGUCUCUGGCGGCUGGAGAGGAGGUUGCUUUUUGGACGUGUUUGUUGAGAGAUAUUUCAGGGAGAGGAGGAUAGUUUAGCUCGAGAGAGGUGGUGCUUUUUGCGAAGUUGCUUGGAGAUAUUUUGAGGGGAUCUCCUUGGGUGAGGGGGCAGGCUGGUGACUCAGGGACACUAGAGAGAGAAAAACAGGGGAAUCAGAGGAGAAAAGGGUGAGAGUUUGAGGGUGAGUUUCUAGCUUAGAGGAGAGGCUACCGGAGGAGAGAACAGGGAGCAGCAAACUGUGAGAGGUAGUGGUGCUAUUGGCUGCCGUUUAGAGGAACUUGAGAGAGAGCGAGACUUGAGAGAGAAAGAACCAGAGAGUUAGAGUUUUCCAGAGAGAACAGAGAGCUUGAAGGAGAAGAAGGUAAGGGUAUGACUGCCACUAAUCUUUUUGUUUUUUUUCGUUGGUAAAUAGUCUCUUUACCUCUUCUCGAUAUUUUCUACGGAUUGCUUGAUUUGUGUUUAGUUUUUAUGGUUCAUGUUUGGUUGAUAUCUCUUUCAUUUUCUUCGAGAUGAUUCGAGAGUGAUACGACUAUGUUUUUAGUUGGGAUGGAAAACUUGUUUUGCUUUUGUUUUCAAUUCCAUAGGAUAUUUAUUUGACUUCACUCACCCCCACCUAAGCCCAUUGAUUGAUGCAUGACAUGAGGCUUAGAUGUAUUCAUUUUGCUCCAAUUAUUUGUACUCUGUCUUGCCGUUUUCCCCUGUUACUGCCUCUGGUGCUGGUUCAGAUGCUAUAUGCAAUAGCAGUAUAGUAGGAGAAGAUGGUUUUGACGAGGGGUUUCCUGAGGUGGAGAAUUUCAUGCACAUCAUAGACUUGAAUGUUGGAAUUUUAUGUGUGGACUUACAUAAUUAAUUUGAUAAUAUCAUAAAUCAGUGUUAAUUUAUGUUUUUGCAUUGUGGUCCAUAAUGGGACUGGACACAAAUUGUUGCUUGAUUUUUUAUGGGCUCACCCUAAUUCACUUGACUGGCCCAUUAAGUCAAGUCGUCCAACUAAAGUGUGUAAUGUGCAAUAUAUAUAUAUAUAUAUAUAUAUAUAUAUAUAUAUGUAUUUAUUUGUAUAUAUAUAUAUAGAGGUGUGUGUGCUUUUGGAGGUGGACCACUCUCUCUUUUGUUCUCUUUGAAGAACACUCCCGGCCACACACGCACACACUCCACUUUGGACUGAAUUUUGGGGAUUAAAGGGAAGAGCUCAUUGAUCGCUCAUCCUCGGAGCAUCACGCACCCGGAAAGCAGAUUAUUGGAUAUCAAAGGAGAGAAGAAAUGGCUUCCCAAAGCACGAACCAAGGUAACGGAAGAAUUUUGCUAUUAAAUGCAUGCUUAAUUGUCAAUAUGUGAUCCUAUGCAAUUUAAAUUAUCAUCAAUUGGUAUCAGAGCUUGCAUGAUUGACAUUUGAGCUGCAAUUUUGGGUUAAUUUUUGGGUUUCCCGUUUCCUGUGGUGGAAGCCAUUUUUUUGGAUUUUUAAUUCUCGUUUGAUGUUUAUUCUCUGUUUUCAAGCCCGAUUGUUGUUGGAAACUUGUAGAGAAUAUUGUUUGGAGCAAAACCCAUCAUUUUAUUUGAUUUUUGGAGCUUGUUUGGUGGGAUUUCGAAAAUUAGGGUUUGUUUGGUUCUUGCUAUUAUGCGUUUUUUGUGCAAUUUUUGGGUUUGGAUUGAAUAAUUGAUGUUUUAGGAUGGAAAUCUAUGUAUUUUUGACGAAAAAUGCGUGAAAUUUUGGGCGGAAAAUUUUUUUUUUUCUUCUCCAGAACCAGGCCGUGCUCAGCUGGAUGAGAAGAUGAACAGUGACGUGAUGACGUCAUCAUGACGUCAUAAAAAAAAAACCAAUUUUUUUUUUUUUUUUUUGUUUGUUUGUUGCCUUGGUAUUCUUGGAUUGAUUGUGCAUAUGCUAGAAUUUUUUAUGCAUUUGUUAAAUUUGACUUUAUUGGGACAAUUAUUAUUAUUAUUGUCCUUUAUGGUAUAAUUUUUCCUUAUAUCAAUAAUGUUGUCCUAUGUCAAUUUUGUUAAAUAUUUCAAUUUAUUGAGGCAAUGAAGCACACUUGUGUAAUUGCCUAUCGCAAUUCCAAGUGUGUCAAAUUGUGAAAAUUGAAUAUUUUAUUUUAUUCAUGACAAUUGUGAACAUAUGUGUGAUUGCCUAUCGUGAUCCUAUAUGUGUCAAAUUGUCCUUGGUGAGAUAAUUUAACUCCCACAUUUAAUCGUUUUAUUAUUGUGAUUACUAAGAUCCAUACGGGUAUUGUAAUUGUCCUAUCGAUGAUAACAAUGCUUGGUAGGAUGCUUAGAUUGGUGAAGGAAAUUAAUUGUAUAUUAUGAAUUGUACUAAUUUUCUUUGCCCUUUCGGUAAUAAAAUUAGUACAUUUUGGUUGUAAUAUUUAAUUAGUUGUCCUUACCGCCGUGGAAUUUUUAAAAAUUCCAAGCUAUUGCUAAAUUGAGAAAUUAUGGAAAUUAGCAAAUGCAUGAUAUUGUAAUAACAUGCAUACUGUUGAAUUUUGCUAUUUUCCAGCUACCAGCAAUCCUGGUAUUUCUCUGCAAUUGUCUGCCAUCAAACCUCUUACUGGGAAUAAUUUUGAAGAAUGGUUUGAGUCCUUUAACGUGCAUAUGACUCUGCAAAAUCUGGACUUGGCUUUGAGGGUUGAUGAGCCAAGUAAGCUCACUGAUGUGAGCUCUGCAGAUGAAAGAUUAUUUUAUGAAAGAUGGGAGCACUCCAACAGGAGUUGUUUGAUGGUGAUGAAAUUCACUAUGGAUAAAUCUAUCAAAGAAUGCGGGCCAAAGACGGAAAGGGCCAAAGACUUCUUGGAAUAUGUGAAGGCCAAUUAUACCAAAGUUGAUAAGGCUGAAAUGGCAACUCAUUUGAAGCUUCUCACAACUACUGUAUAUGAUGGAGUUAGUGGGGUUAGGGAUCAUAUCAUCAAGCUAAGGCACUAAUUCAACAAGGCAAAUGAGAUGAAAGUGGAGUUGGGUGAAAAAUUUCUGAAAUGGUUGAUACUUGAGUCUCUUCCUGCUUCCUUUGAUGCAGUGAAGUUGACUUACAAUGCCUUGAAGGAAGAAUGGACUCUGGAGGAGUUAAUGUCCAUUGUAGUGCAACAUGAAGUCUCACUGAAGAAACAUGAGACUCACUCCCUUGCUCUUGUAACAAAUCAAGCCAGUAAUGUGAAGAAAAAACCUCCACACAAGAUUUUUGGAGGCUCUAAGCAGUUCAAGAGGAAAGGGAAUUCAAAUCAAGGAACCUCCAACGCAUCUGUUUCUUCUAAUGCUGCAAAGAGUGAGAAAUUCAAGGGGAAGUGCAACUUUUGCCAUAAGAUUGGCCACAAGCAAGUUGAUUGCUUCAAAUUUAAAAAUUGGCUAGAGAAGAAAAAGAAAGGUGAAAUUGUGGUUGUGGUUAAUUUGAAUGCAAACAUGAUUGAGACAAAUAUUGUUGAUGUUCAUGCCAAUUCUUGGUGGUUAGAUACUGGUGCCACUAUUCAUGUCACUAAUUCUUUGCAGGAGAUGACAAACAGAAGGAAGCCGUCAAAGCAUGAAGAAUGUGUGUAUAUGGGUGACGGAAGCAAAGUGAAAGUGGAAUUUUUUGGCAUGAUAAAGCUGAAGUUGAUCACAGAAAGUUUUUUGUUGUUACACAAUGUGGCUUUUAUACCCUCACUUAGGAGGAAUCUGAUUUCUGUAUCUUCUUUGGAUAGACAUGGUUAUUCUUUUCACUUUGGAGGUGGAAAAGUGGAUAUUUUUUGCAACUCAGUCUUAAUUGGCAAUGGUGUUUUGUUUGGAAAUCUAUAUAGUCUCAGUUUGCAUCAUGGUUUAUUAUGUGAUUCAUCCUCUGUUAAUUCUGUUGUUGGUUGCAAGCGUGCUAGAAUGAAUUUGAGUUCUUCCAUGUUGUGGCACAAACGCCUAGGUCAUAUUUCUAGGCAAAGAUUAGAGAGAUUGGUGAAAGAUGGUGUGCUUUCUAAUCUUGAUUUCUCAUACUUCGAAACUUGUGUUGUUUGCUUAAAGGGGAAGAUGACAGCAAAGACCAGAAAGGAGAAGAUUGAUAGGUGUGGAAGUACUUUAGACUUGAUCCACACAGAUAUAUGUGGUCCUUUGUCACCAACUGCUUUAGGGGGUUAUAAAUAUUUCAUCACUUUUAUUGAUGAUUUCUCUAGAUUUGGUUUUGUUGAACUAAUCCAUGAGAAAUCUGACUCCCUGAAUGUGUUCAAAGCCUUUAAGGCUAAGGUGGAGUUGCAGUUGGGAAAGCCCAUUAAAGCUGUGAAGUCUGAUAGAGGUGGCGAGUAUUAUGGGAGAUAUGAUGAGACUGGACGGAAUCCUGGACCAUUUGCUAAGUUUCUGUUGGAAUGUGGCAUUGAUGCGAGAUAUACAUUGCCAGGCACUCCUCAACAGAAUGGGGUUGCAGAAAGGAGGAAUCGCACAUUGUUAGAUAUGGUGAGGUGCAUGUUGUCCAAUUCCUCUUUACCAGAAUUUAUAUGGGGUGAAGCCUUAAGGACUGCGGCAUAUAUUUUGAAUCAAGUGCCCAGUAAGUCUGUGCCUAAGACACCUUAUGAGCUAUGGUCAGGAAAGAAACCCAGCCUUCACCAUUUCCAUGUUUGGGGAUGUAAGGCUGAGGUUAAGCCCUAUAACCCACAGUCAAAGAAACUUGAUCCUAAAACCAUUAGUGGUUUCUUUGUUGGCUAUUGCAUUGGAUCAAGGGGUUCCAGAUUCUAUUGUCCAUCUCAUACCACCAGGAUCAUUGAAUCAGACAGGGCUGUAUAUUUUGAGGAUGAAGUCAAUGUUGAUCCAAAUUUUGUGCCUCGUGAGAUACCUUUUGGAGAAGAGCAUGUUGUGAUUCCUUUUCCUACAUCUCAUGUUCCAAAUAUGGAUGUUCCUAUUGUCCAACAGCCAGCCACUAAUCAAGGAGAGCAUGGUGAUCAAGUGGAAUCCGACCUUCCUGUAGAUGAUACAGUUGUUAAUGAGGUUCCUUUGAGAAGAUCACAGAGGGUUCGUAGGCCGGCUAUUUCAGAUGAUUAUAUGGUUUAUUUGCAGGAGCAUGAGUAUGAUAGUUAUGAUGCUUUUGAUCCAGUCACUUACCAAGAAGCAAUUCAUUGUCCUCAAUUCAUAUCUUGGAAAGAAGCCAUGGAUGAUGAAAUGAAUUCUAUGUAUAUGAAUGGUGUUUGGGACUUGGUUGAAUUGCCUCAUGGUUGUAAACCAGUUGGGUGCAAGUGGGUCUUUAAGACCAAACGUGAUUCUAGCGGGAAAAUAGAGAGAUAUAAAGCUAGACUUGUGGUUAAAGGUUAUAGUCAAAGAGAAGGAAUUGAUUUCAAAGAAACCUUCUCACCUGUGUCGACCAAGGACUCUUUUAGAGUGAUUAUGGCCAUAGUAGCUCAUUUUGACUUGGAGCUACAUCAGAUGGAUGUCAAGACAGCUUUCUUGAAUGGUGUUUUGGAUGAGGAGGUGUAUAUGGAGCAACCUAUUGGUUUUGUAGAAGUUGGAAAGGAAGAUUUAGUUUGCAAGCUCAAUAAGUCCAUUUAUGGUCUUAAACAGGCUUCGAGGCAGUGGUAUCUGAAGUUUGAUAAGAUUAUCACCCAAAAUGGCUUUAAAGAAAAUACAGUUGAUAGAUGCAUAUAUUUGAGGGUCAGUGGGAGUAGUUACAUAUUUCUUGUUUUAUAUGUUGAUGAUAUACUACUCGCAUCAAAUGAUCCUGACUUGUUGAUUGAGACAAAGCACAUUUUGUCAACCCAUUUUGACAUGAAGGAUCUUGGUGAGGCUUCUUAUGUCUUGGGCAUAAAGAUUCUUCGUGAUAGGGCUAAUGGAGUGCUUAAAUUGUCUCAAAGAGCCUAUAUUGAAAGGAUAUUGAAGAGGUUCAAUAUGCACAACUGUAAAUCUACUAAAGCGCCAAUUGUGAAGGGUGAUAAAUUUUCAAAAGCUCAGUGUCCUCAAAAUGAUGAUGAGAGAGAGGAAAUGAAGACCAUUCCUUAUUCAUCUGUGGUGGGCAGCCUUAUGUAUGCUCAAGUAUGUACACGCCCUGAUAUUGCUUUUGUUGUGGGCAUGUUGGAAAGGUACUUGAGCAAUCCUGGGAGUCAACAUUGGAAAGCAGCUAAGAAGGUCCUUAGGUAUUUGCAAGGAACUAAGGACUUAAUGUUGACAUAUCAGCGCACCAGCUUACUUGAUGUAGUUGGGUUUUGUGAUGCUGAUUUUGCUGGCUGCAUAGAUGAUAAGAAAUCCACUACGGGCUAUAUUUUUAUGAUGGCAGGAGGAGCUGUAUCUUGGAAAAGUGUCAAGCAGACACUUACAACAUCCUCAACUAUGGAGGCAGAGUAUGUGGCAUGUUAUGAGGCUUGUUGUCAUGCUAUGUGGAUGCGGAAUUUUAUUUCAGCUUUAGGAGUUGUUGACUCCAUUUCUAGACCGCUGAAAUUAUUUUGUGAUAAUUCCGCAACUGUUGCUUUCUCCAAGAACACUAGGAGUAUUUCUCGCUCCAAACAUAUUGAUGUAAAGUUCUAUUUUGUUAAGGAGAAAGUGGCAGAGUCUCUUAUUGAUAUUGAACACAUGUCCACAAAAAGUAUGUUGGCGGAUCCAUUAACAAAAGGCUUACCCAUAAUUGCGUUUCAAGAACAUGUAUCUCAAAUGAGGUUGUUGGAAGCCUAGGUUGUAUUAAGUUAGUGGGAGCCAUUUUUUGGUAUUGUAAUACUAUGUUAUUGUUGAAAGGAUUGCUAUUAUUGUACAUUUCCCUAUGAAUCAAGCAAUGAAGCAUAUAUGAUUGCUUUUGAUUAUUUAUUUCUGAUGAGAUUCUAUGGGACAUUGAUUUAUGAUUAUGUAUAUGUUGUGAUGUUUGAUUAUGUAGUCCAAGUGGGAGAAUUGUUGGAAUUUUAUGUGUGGACUUACAUAAUUAAUUUGAUAAUAUCAUAAAUCAGUGUUAAUUUAUGUUUUUGCAUUGUGGUCCAUAAUGGGACUGGACACAAAUUGUUGCUUGAUUUUUUAUGGGCUCACCCUAAUUCACUUGACUGGCCCAUUAAGUCAAGUCGUCCAACUAAAGUGUGUAAUGUGC
rnacentral:lncRNA from 1 species